rnacentral:rRNA from 1 species
CAGUCGCCACGGUAAUACGUAGGGUGCGAGCGUUAAUCGGAAUUACUGGGCGUAAAGGGUGCGUAGGCGGUUAGUUAAGUCUGUCGUGAAAUCCCCAGGCUCAACCUGGGAAUGGCGAUGGAUACUGGCUGGCUAGAGUGUGUCAGAGGAUGGUGGAAUUUCCGGUGUAGCGGUGAAAUGCGUAGAGAUCGGAAGGAACAUCAGUGGCGAAGGCGGCCAUCUGGGACAACACUGACGCUGAAGCACGAAAGCGUGGGGAGCAAACAGGAUUAGAUACCCCCGUAGUCCCUGUCUCUUAUAC